rnacentral:rRNA from 1 species
CCUACGGGUGGCAGCAGUGAGGAAUAUUGGUCAAUGGACGCAAGCCUGAACCAGCCAUGCCGCGUGAAGGAUGACUGCCCUACGGGUUGUAAACUUCUUUUGUAAAGGAAUAAAGUGAGGCACGUGUGCCUUUUUGUAUGUACUUUAUGAAUAAGGAUCGGCUAACUCCGUGCCAGCAGCCGCGGUAAUACGGAGGAUCCGAGCGUUAUCCGGAUUUAUUGGGUUUAAAGGGAGCGUAGAUGGGCUGUUAAGUUAGUGGUGAAAGUCUGCGGCUCAACUGUAAAAUUGCAAUUGAUACUGGCAGGCUAGAGUGCAGUUGCGGUAGGCGGAAUGUGUGGUGUAGCGGUGAAAUGCUUAGAUAUCACACAGAACACCGAUUGCGAAGGCAGCUUACUAAACUGCCACUGACGUUGAUGCACGAGAGCGUGGGUAUCAAACAGGAUUAGAUACCCUUGUAGUC